rnacentral:rRNA from 1 species
UACGUAGGGUGCAAGCGUUGUCCGGAAUUAUUGGGCGUAAAGAGCUCGUAGGCGGUCUGUCACGUCGGCUGUGAAAUCCCGAGGCUCAACCUCGGGUCUGCAGUCGAUACGGGCAAACUAGAGUAUUGCAGGGGAGACUGGAAUUCCUGGUGUAGCGGUGAAAUGCGCAGAUAUCAGGAGGAACACCGAUGGCGAAGGCAGGUCUCUGGGCAUUAACUGACGCUGAGGAGCGAAAGCGUGGGGAGCGAACAGG